GGGGAGGUGCUACGGUGUUAGAGGGUGGGUGGGGCAGCCGGAAGUGGGCAGGGUUUGCAUGGAGGCGGAGCUUUGUUGGCAAACCUGCCUGGCUUUUUGAGGUCCCUGAUCAAGAAGCAGAACAAUACAGUGCUCCAACCUUGCCUUCCUAUCAUUACCUGCUGCCUGCCUAAAAGAGCCUUGAGCCACCAUGACAGAAGAUCAUCAUGCUGAAGAGGCCACAUUCUGGUCAACAGAGCCAGCUGAGCCCAGCGGUCUAGUCAUCCCUGCCAUGGUGCCAGAUAUGUGAAUGAAACAAACUGCCUUGAACCCUGUAAACUUCUCAUUAACCAGUUUCUCUCAGCAGAAGAUACUCAAAGGAAGAUAGAGCCAUAGAACAAAGAUUAAAUUCAAGGCCCUGUUAGAAAAUCAUGGACUCCAGGAGUGUAAGCAGAACUUGAAAUAACUCAUCAGUCUUCACCUGGAAGAAGUGGACUGAAAGAGAUAUAAUCAUGGUCAAGCUCUGGAAAUUAUCUGAUUACUGCUUGGUCCCUCCAUGGUGAUCUGUCUUUUGAUUUUAUACCCAAGAUGAUCAUCAGUGAUGACAUUUGAUCACUAGUAUUUCUUUUCAUUAGGAGCCCUGAGAGUGGUCUUCCUCUAGAAGGUGAUAUUACAAAACAGCAAACAUGCAAACCAACUGUUGGGGAUAUAAAGAUUGUAGAACAUC